rnacentral:RNase_P_RNA from 2 species
CCAGAGGGCCGGACCACCGCGGGGGAUCUUUGGUUCCGCGAGGAAAGUCCGGGCUUCAUGGAAUGACGGUAGCGGAUAACGUCCGCCGGGGGCGACCCCAGGGACCAGGGCAACAGAAAGCAAACCGCCCUUGCGGAGUCCGAAGGACGAAGCAGGGUAAGGGUGAAAGGGUGCGGUAAGAGCGCACCGCGGACGUGGUAACACGGACGGCACGGCAACCCCUACCGGAAGCAAGACCAAAUAGGGACCGCAGGACGGCGGCAACGCCGUCCGCCGCAUUCCACGGUGCGCGGUCCGGGUUGGUUGCUUGAGCCUGCCGGCGACGGCAGGUCUAGAGGAAUGGUGGUCGAAGGGGCUUGCCCCUUACAGAACCCGGCUUAUAGGCCCUCUGGUCCG